CUGGGAGGACCAUCUCCUAAGGCUAAAUACUCUCUAGUGACCGAUAGUGAACCAGUACCGUGAGGGAAAGGUGAAAAGCACCCCGGAAGGGGAGUGAAAUAGAACCUGAAACCGUGUGCUUACAAGUAGUCAGAGCCCGUUAAUGGGUGAUGGCGUGCCUUUUGUAGAAUGAACCGGCGAGUUACGAUUUGAUGCAAGGUUAAGCAGUAAAUGUGGAGCCGUAGCGAAAGCGAGUCUGAAUAGGGCGUUUAGUAUUUGGUCGUAGA
rnacentral:rRNA from 1 species